rnacentral:rRNA from 1 species
GACGAACGCUGGCGGCGUGCUUAACACAUGCAAGUCGAACGGUGAACGAGGGAGCUUGCUCCCUCCGGAUCAGUGGCGAACGGGUGAGUAACACGUGAGCAAUCUGCCCCGAACUCUGGGAUAAGCGUUGGAAACGACGUCUAAUACCGGAUACGACGCGGGAGGGCAUCCUCUCCGCGUGGAAAGAACUUCGGUUCGGGAUGAGCUCGCGGCCUAUCAGCUUGUUGGUGAGGUAACGGCUCACCAAGGCGACGACGGGUAGCCGGCCUGAGAGGGUGACCGGCCACACUGGGACUGAGACACGGCCCAGACUCCUACGGGUGGCAGCAGUGGGGAAUAUUGCACAAUGGGCGCAAGCCUGAUGCAGCAACGCCGCGUGAGGGACGACGGCCUUCGGGUUGUAAACCUCUUUUAGCAGGGAAGAAGCGAAAGUGACGGUACCUGCAGAAAAAGCACCGGCUAACUACGU